UUGCAGCCUAAGUGUGUUGCCAUGGAGAUGUGAGAAGCCCCCAAAGAGGGAGGCCGGGGAGUUACGGCCUAAUCCUGAGGUGAUUUUCAAUAGCACCAGCUGUCCCGGGGCUGAAAGGCAUGGCAAAUUACACCAUUAUUGGAGGGAAAUAGGGAGGCUAAGCUAAUUAUUUGUGGGCUUUAGACACAGGUGUUCAUAAAAGCGGGGCCGUGUGCUCCUCAUCAAGGCCGGCUGGGGAGGGGGAGGCCCGGCGGGAGGCCAUGGCUCUCAUUUCAAUCACAAAGGGUGGCCGUGGGCACGCUGCUGCCAUGCUGUGUGCGGGGCCUUUGCCACAGGUGUCGUUCCAGGGCACCUGUGCUACGUGGGGCGUGCAUCAGGAAUAAACACCAAUUCUUGUUGGCAUAAACCGAAGAACAUCUACUGGAGAGCACAGCGUGGGCAAUUUGCUCUGUCUUGUAGUAUGCUGGGUAAAUGUACCGUCUCUCUCGGUUGCAGCUUUCAGGAGCAUAGCAAAAAUGACUAACCGCUCCCUGGUAAAGGCAGUGCAGAACAGCAAUAAGGACCGUGAGAUUUGUGUGCUAAAUGCCAUUUUGGGCCUAGGGAAGAAGUGAGGAAACAGUUGCUGAGCACUAAGAAACAGAAUUAUGGUGAUAAUAGAAGGCAAAUAAACCUAAAACCAAGGAAACACAUGGGAUGGCGACAGCAAAAGAGCAGGUGUUUGGAGGCUCCUGGCUUUUGAUUGUGGCUCUGACACUUUGUAUGAUUUUCUAUAAAGUACUUGACCUCCUCCUGCCUAGUUAACCCAGCUGGAAAAUUGGGGAAAGAAAGCAGGAACCUCGCGGAAACUCGGAUGCCGCAUCUGAUCUGAAGCCUCCUGGGAAAAGGGCUUUGCAAAAACCGUGGUGAGGUUGUGAUGAAACGCAGAGCAGCGAUUUCCAAAUGUGCAGCCUCGUCGGCCGUGGAUGAUACAUCAAAGUCACUGCUUUGCUCUAACGUGUUGACGACAGCCACUUUCUGUAAUUCACCAUGAGCAAACAUCUACCCCUGACCAGCUGCUGCCGCCGUUAAUCGAGGCCGCCGCGUGCGUGUGUGUGCAUAUCCCCAGGGACCAGAAAAUAACGCCAGCGAAACCACAAUCACUAUCCCAGCCCUGCACCCUGUCUUAAACCACUCCCUAAUAAGAGUAUUACUUCAUCUCGGACCAUUUAAUCCCAUUUAUGAUUUUAAAUGGGAAUAGCUAGUUAAAACCCCGGAGUUCUCAUUUGGUGGGUGCAAAGUUUGCCAGACGUGGCGUGGUGCUAACAAAAAGCCAUCGCUGCUCCCGCUGAAACCCCAGCACGUCUGCACAGCUCGGGGCCACGGGGCUUCUUGUCCCUUCCCGUGCUAGUAAUAACGCCGUACCUAAUUUGUCCCCAGUUGGCUUUCACCUGCAGCCUCGUUGACGCGAGAGCUCAGAAUGAAGUUGUGGCCUCCAUUAAAAAUAAAGGGCUCUCGUGAUAAAUGAGGUGGCGACAACUUGAGCGGCGAAAUGCUUUGAAAUAAGCCCUUAGCCGGCUUCGAAUAAUUGUAGGAAGUGGGAUGCUCGUGGCAGGGCGCCUCCUUUGUAAUUUGCAAAGGGACAAGGACAUUUGAAUGCUAGGAAAUAGGAGCAUCCAAAAAACCAAAGCAACGGCACAAUUUAGGCUGAAACCUCUGGAAUUAGUGAACAAAUAGAGUGGAAGGCUGAAGAAUACAGAUGGCUCCUAAUUUUCCCUGGCUACCACGAGGGUUUGAAGGAUGUGUUUUUGUCUAGCAGCCCAAUGCUCGUUCCCAAUACCAAGUCCUGAUUAUUUUUCAAAGUAGUUCAAAGCUGUGAUCUGUGAGAUGGAGUCCUCUUGGGGAAUCGUCCCGGGGCUGGCAAGGUGGCCGUGGGCCGAGCUUCGGGCAGCGGUGUCGCAGCCCGCUUCUGGACUACAACAGCGGAAAGGAUUGUCCUGCGGUGUGAGCAUCAACCUGAAACAUUUGGGAAUAGGAGGACAGCCUCUUAGGGUUGAACUGAUGCAAUAAGUGUGCAGUCAGCAGAAGGUCCUGGCCAGCGCAGGUUUGCAUCGUGGUAUGGGGUAACUUGGAGCAAGCAGGAAUGAACCGUUAUUGCAGCCAAAGGCAAGAUUUCCUCCUGCCUGCAGAAGCUAAAAGGC